AAGAAAUAACAAUACAGAACCUUACGGUUUUGUAAUUGGAAUGAGUUAAGUAUAAACCCCUUAACAAGUAUCAAUUGGAGGGCAAGUCUGGUGCCAGCAGCCGCGGUAAUUCCAGCUCCAAUAGCGUAUAUUAAAGUUGUUGCAGUUAAAAAGCUCGUAGUUAAUCUUCUGUUAAUUUUUAUAUAUAAUAUCUCGAUAUUUAUAUAAUAUUAACAUAAUUCAUAUUACUUUUUAGUAUAUGAAACUUUACUUUGAGAAAAUUAGAGUGCUUAAAGCAGGCUAUUGCCUUGAAUACUCCAGCAUGGAAUAAUAUUAAGGAUUUUUAUUCUUCUUAUUGGUUCUAGAAUAAAAAUGAUGAUUAAUAGGAACAGUUGGGGGCAUUUGUAUUUAACAGUCAGAGGUGAAAUUCUUAGAUUUGUUAAAGACAAACUACUGCGAAAGCAUUUGCCAAGGAUGUUUUCAUUAAUCAAGAACGAAAGUUAGGGGAUCGAAGACGAUCAGAUACCGUCGUAGUCUUAACC
rnacentral:rRNA from 1 species